rnacentral:misc_RNA from 1 species
GUUGAAGAACGUAGCGAAAUGCGAUAAGUAAUGUGAAUUGCAGAAUUCAGUGAAUCAUCGAAUCUUUGAACGCACCUUGCGCCCUUUGGCCAUUCCGAAGGGCAUGCCUGUUUGAGUAUCAUGAACACCUCAACUCUUUAUGGUUUUCCAUGAUGAGCUUGGACUCUGGGGGUUUUGCUGGCUCACAGUCGGCUCCUCUAAAAUGAAUCAGCUUACCAGUGUUUGGUGGGUAUCAUGGGUGUGAUAACUAUCUACGCUUGUGGUUUUUCCACCAGGUAACCUUCAGCAGUGGAGGUUCGCUGGAGCUCAUAGAUGUCUCUCCUCAGUGAGGACAGCCCUUUGAAUGUUUGAUCUCAAAUCAGGUAGGACUACCCGCUGAACUUAAGCAUAUCAAUAAGCGGAGGA